rnacentral:misc_RNA from 1 species
UCUCUCUCUCUCUCUCCCCCUCUUCUUUUCUCCAUAUGUAUAAAAGAGAGAACACAGCACCAAAUCUCAUCUUCGUCAUCCAAAAACCCCAAUUCGCUCAUCUCUCCUUCGAUCCAAUCCAACACCUCCUUUCUUUUUCUUUCCCUCCAAUUCGAUCUCAUAUAUACUUAUAAGCCCAUAAGUCAUCGAUCCAUGUAUUGUUAAUGAAUCCAUUUUUGUUCAAAUUGAAUCACGAUUUUUUAUUCUCUGAUUCGAUUGAAUCGAUCGUUUCGUGGAUCCGUUUUUUGCUAGAAAUGAGGCUGUAGAACUGGAAGAUUAGAUGAUGGAUGAAUCUGUGCUAGUGUAAUUCUUUUCUUUUUCUAACAAAAAAUUUUACACAAAAAAUAAGAUGCCAGGAAUAGCGCAGAGAAAUGAGCAAUUCAGUAAUGCAUCAUCGGGCGUUUACUCGCUUUCAGCCAAUGGAUUCUGGUCAAAGCACCGUGACGAUGUUAACUACAAUCAGCUCCAGAAGUUCUGGAGUGAGCUGUCACCACAAGCUAGACAGAAGCUUCUGCGGAUUGACAAGCAAACCCUGUUUGAGCAAGCUCGUAAGAACAUGUAUUGUUCUAGAUGCAAUGGUUUAUUACUCGAAGGUUUCUUGCAGAUUGUUAUGUAUGGCAAGUCUUUGCAGCAAGAAGGGGUAGUGGGCCACCUUUCUUGCAAUAGAACAUCAACCUCAGAAAAUCAAAGUGAUGGAGAACCAAAUAUGAUGAAUGGGUGCCAAGAUGAAAUUCAAGAUCCAUCGGUCCAUCCCUGGGGGUGUCUGACCACUACACGAGAUGGCUCUUUGACACUGUUGAAUUGUUAUUUGUAUUCGAAGUCCCUUAAGGGUCUACAAAAUGUCUUUGACAGUGCACGAGCAAGGGAACGGGAAAGGGAAUUGCUCUAUCCUGAUGCCUGCGGUGGAGGAGGUCGGGGUUGGAUAAGCCAAGGAAUGGCAAGCUAUGGUAGAGGACAUGGAACAAGAGAAACAUGUGCACUACAUACUGCGAGGCUUUCUUGUGACACAUUAGUGGAUUUCUGGUCAGCACUGGGAGAAGAGACUCGAAAGUCUCUUUUAAGGAUGAAGGAAGAGGAUUUUAUUGAAAGGCUCAUGUACAGGUUUGACAGCAAAAGAUUUUGCAGAGAUUGUAGAAGGAAUGUUAUUCGUGAGUUCAAGGAGCUAAAGGAGCUCAAGCGCAUGCGGCGAGAACCUCGCUGCACCGGUUGGUUUUGUGUUGCAGAUACAGCUUUCCAAUAUGAGGUAUCUGAUAACAAAAUCCAGGCUGAUUGGCGCCAAACUUUUGCUGAUACCGCUGGAUUGUAUCAUCACUUUGAAUGGGCAGUUGGAACAGGAGAAGGAAAAUCCGAUAUUCUAGAAUUUGAAAAUGUAGGCAUGAAUGGAAGUGUUCAAGUUAAUGGCUUAGAUCUUGGUGGUUUAACUGCAUGUUUUAUCUCUUUGAGGGCUUGGAAACUAGAUGGCCGCUGUACUGAGCUAUCUGUAAAGGCUCAUGCAUUAAGGGGUCAACAAUGCGUCCAUUGCAGGCUAGUUAUAGGUGAUGGUUUUGUUACAAUUACUAGAGGGGAAAGUAUCAGAAGGUUUUUUGAACAUGCUGAAGAGGCCGAGGAAGAAGAGGAUGAUGAUUCCAUGGACAAGGAUGGGAAUGAGCUAGAUGGAGAAUGCUCCCGUCCCCAAAAGCAUGCGAAGAGUCCUGAACUUGCUCGAGAAUUUCUUCUAGAUGCUGCAACAGUUAUUUUCAAGGAGCAGGUUGAAAAGGCUUUCAGAGAAGGAACUGCACGCCAAAAUGCACAUAGCAUCUUUGUUUGUCUUGCAUUAAAACUGCUGGAAGAGCGUGUUCAUGUUGCAUGCAAAGAAAUUAUCACAUUGGAAAAGCAGAUGAAACUUCUUGAAGAAGAGGAAAAGGAAAAGCGUGAUGAAGAAGAACGCAAGGAGAGAAGAAGAGCUAAAGAAAGAGAGAAAAAGCUUCGAAGAAAGGAGAGGUUAAAGGGGAAGGAAAGGGAUAAAGAAAAGAAGUGCUCUGAAUCAAAUGAUUCUCUUGAAAUCUCAAAGGCUGAAACAUCAGCAAUUGCUGACGAGGAACCUAAUAAUGAUGUCAGCUGUAAGGAUUCAGUUAGUGAAACUGGUGACGUUUCAUUAUCCAGGCCUGGAUCUCCAGAUAUUCAAGAACAAUUCUUGAAAGGUUAUACCUCUUCGGCAAUGCAAAGCAACUCCUGUGGUAGUCCUGAUGGAGAAGUCACUAAUGUGAAUGAUGGGACUGGCUCUUUUAUGAUUGAACAAUCAAAAUUUUCUCGUCGGAGAUUGAAAUUUCGGAAAGAAGUUCUGAUUGAUCCCUCUUUGAAGUUGUCUGAUAGAUGUCGAUUUGCCAUUGUUUCAGGAAAUGGGGCUAUGGUUAAUAGAUCUGAGUCAAGACAUUACACUGACAAUUUUGAGACUCCUCCAAGGGGUGUCACCGGAUUGAAUAGGCAGUCAAGGAUAAAUAGACAGAAGUCUAAUGGUCGAACUUGCAGCCUUAAGUUUAAUGAGAAGUUUCAUUGUCUUAACAAUAGGAUGAAUGAAAGAUAUGACUUCCAUUCUUGUAGCUGUCACCAAAACAAUGAAUACAGGGUGAAGGUUGAACCACAUGUUUCUGCAAUAAGAACUGGCCGGGAUAGCAAAUCUGUUGGUAAGUCAGAGUCUACACUAGAUAUGUCCAAGAAAUUUUAUUGUGGGAACAAGUAUGGGCAAAUAGAUUACAUGCGUGAAAGUUGUGUAAGACCCAAAAGCAAAAGCAUCACAGCAAACAAUUCUUGUAGCAGGGAUUUGCUUCAUUCUAAGAAAGUGUGGGAACCUACAGAAUCAUACAAAAAGUAUACUCGGAGCAACUCAGACAGUGAUGUUACCUUGAGGUCAUCUACUUUCAAUAACUUAUUCAAGUCACCUGGUGGUAAGUGUUCUGGUGAAGUUACUGGAAAUUUUGGUGAAAUUGAUCAUGAGAAUAAUAAGGGGGAAUCAGGAAACUCUAACCACAGAAUCAAUAAAGGCUUCCAGAAUGGACACAAUGUGGCAGUGAAGGAGCUUUGCUACUCAACAGAAACUCCUUAUGACGAAGUCAGUUCAUGUCUUGCAAAGAACUCUGGCUCAAGUGGGACUUCUGAUCCUAGCAUAGGCAGCACUUCUAAUUCAGAUAACUGUUCAUCAUGCCUUAGUGAGGGAGAUAGCAAUACGGCAUCUUCAAACCAUGGAAAUAUGGAAUCUUCAUCCACAUCAGAUUCUGAAGAGACUUGUCAACAAUCAGAAGGAAGAGAGACCUCACUAUGUCAAAAUGGUUUCUCGAAUUCGCAUGAGGUGGGCACGGAGAACAAACCAAGUACGAAGGGAGGGGGGGAAUUUGGAAGUAGGAAACUUUUUGGGCAUCCACCAGAUGGUCUGAAAAUGAAUGCUCUGGGAAAUCUGCCAUCAAAAACUGUGCAAAAUACUGAUAAUGGAAUACCAACUGUUGAUAUAGGUUCGCAACAUCAAGGCAUGUUUCCGCCUAUGCAAAACCAAAAUUUACAAUUUCCAGUCUUUCAAGCUCCUCCACUGAAUUACUAUCAUCAAAAUCCUGUUGCUUGGCCAACUGCUCCACCUAAUGGAUUAAUGCCCUUUCCCCACACUAACCACUAUCUAUAUGCUGGCCCUCUUAGCUAUGGUUUAAACGGAAACUCACAGUUAUAUAUGCAGUAUGGUCCCUUGCAGCAUUUGGCAACUCCUAUUUUUAAUCCUGGUCCAGUGCCAGUUUAUCAACCAGUUGGCAAAGCAAAUGGCUUUAACUCAGAAGAGCAAACGAAGAUGUGUUCUGGGCAGGAAGCUUUAACUGAAGCCAAAACAAACAAGAAGGCAACAGCCGGAUCACAUCCAACAGAAGUGCUGCCAAGUGGAGAAGGUGGAAAAGUGGAUAAUUCUGCCAAGUUGCAUGUCAGUGACACCAGCUUUUCCUUGUUCCAUUUUGAUGGGCCUGUCGCUCUAUCUGGAUGUAAACCAGAUCCUGAGCUUUCGAGAGAUGGAAUUGUUGGAGAUCGUUCUUUGAAAGUUUCAGCGGAUCAAGUUGAAAAUGAUCCUGCUUGCAAUAGGAAAGAGACUACUAUGGAAGAAUACAAUUUGUUUGCAGCAAGCAAUGGCAUAAGAUUUUCGUUCUUCUAAUAUAUUAGUGAGAAGGUGUGUGCAGUCCGUGUCCUAUUAGCUAUUGGAAGUCGAGUACUUUGAAGCCAGUACACAAUAAUCUUCCUCAGAGAAAUUGAAAUUUUAGCUACAGUUUUUUCAGUUGAUUGAUACCAAAAUUUUCAAUUUUUUUUCCUUAAAUUUUCAUUGUAGAGGGAGGAAGGGUUGGAAGAGUGGUAUAAUGCUUGAGUUUUUCUGUAUGAGGUCAGAUCUGCCUUUUUUAAUGUCUUUUUAUUAAUGAAGCAUUUGUUGGUAUGAGAUUUUUCUUCUCCUUGGUGUUGGAACAGAAGACAUUUAAUUUUGGACUCCUGUCCAAAAGCUUGAACAUUGGCAGUUUCUGACAGUUGGAGUUUUGACUCUAUAACUGCCUGAUCAUGUCUGUUUAAAACAGAAAUUUACGAAGUCCAUAAAAGGCACUAAUACAG